UAGGGGCUCAUCUAGUGAAUUGGGGGUAUUCUUCGAAUGAGUACACUACCCGCCGCACCUUAGCCGGGUUUCAGAUGCCCCAAACUUAAAAGAAACCUAAAAGGCCGUCAGGCUGCCAGCACCUUCCCAGUGAAGACAGAAACAGUCAAGGUGCUGAACUGGAAGAACCCGGAAUGAUUUCAAAUGUGACUUAAGGGUGUGGGGACUUCGGACUUCUUUCCAACUGGAGACAGAGCCCUCCAUCCCAACUGCAUUCCCAGAGGAAGGAAAGUGGCCAAUCUGAUUACUUAAAAUUUAACUUCUGAGGACUUUUACUGCCUGGUUGUAACGGCAUGUGAAAAUGGCAGGCAUUUUCCCAUCACUUAACCCCUCUGCGGCAGGGCUCAAACUUCUCUAUAAAUACUGGUCCAUUCAAUUGCCUGGUAAAAGGACAUAUCACUAUUACUGCUAAUAAAGCCAACACACCUUCCCAGCAA